rnacentral:lncRNA from 1 species
CACUGGGAUAACAGACGAACAAAAACACGUGCACAAAAGGCCUUUCACGGAGGCCAACUCCUGCUGGGUCACGCCCGGAAGCCCUCCCAUACCUGAGGUGGAGAAGGGCAGUAUUGAUGCCCACAGAGAGCUGUAGGGCACCCACACGACAUGCAGGGAGGACAUGGCUUAUUCCUAGAGUUGCUGCCCGGUGCCUGUCCAACCUUACAGCAGGGCCCCAUCUGAGCACACAGCCCACGACCUACGCUGUAUGGAACAGCUCAGCCACAGAAAGCAGCACCUGCUCACCCACGGGCAGCACCAGACCUGUCACUUAUUUUAAUGAGGUUUCUGUCAUUUAGUGUUCUGGAUGCUACACAUCCAAGGGAAAAGGUGGCAGGGAGGAA